AUGCCUUGGUUACAUGGAUUCGGUGGCACGGCGGCGGCCGGCGGGUCAUGGCCGGAAAAGAGGAAAUUUGGCAUUUUUGGCGGCGAACCGGAUCAUGCAGGUGAGACCCUCCUGCCGCAGGUAGCAGAUUCAUUCGACCUGCCUACCAACCCAAGUGUUGGCUGUCGGCUGUCGCCACUCACCCUGGGAAGAGAAUAUGGGUGGGUGACCAUCAGGUCCUGCCAGGAGAGAGGAGAGAUGCACAUAUUUCACCUGCUGCCCUGCCGGGCUGUCUGCUCUGGCGACAAAUUUUCGUGUUUUGACCCUUUUUUGAAACCUAUUCGAGAUUUGACCCUAGUUUGA
rnacentral:rRNA from 1 species